UUGGCACGCAUGUGAAAAAAAACUUUUCAGGAUGCAAUUGGUAAAUUUAGGCGACAGUCCCCCGUACAUACCAAACACAAACUAAAUGUCUUCAAAUCAAACAUAGUAAACGUAAGCAUAAACAAUAGCACGAAAAAUUUAAACGUCCCACAGACGUGUAUGCAACCCAUACAAACAUAGUUAUGACUGCGGUUGUGUUUUCCUAUAUUCUUGAUAGCUUUACUCCACCCAAGCAAACUUGUCGUUAGCGUUGUCUUGCAUGUCCAGUAUAUCUCUAUUGGCCUUCUACGAAAGGAAUUUGCACGUGUAGAAGUAUAGAUCCAUUUGCUUUUGGAGUCGACCCAUUGCCAGUAACUCGCUUAUGCAUGUCUUCGAGUUGGACACAAAAGCUCCGAUGAAGUUGUCAAUUUUUAUAGCAAUCUUCUCAUUGGCCGAGGUAACACGAUCCACAGAGUAGGACACGUAUCGAGAUGAAAACUUCUUCUUCUCCUUCGUUCACUUUCGGCCCGCCUUUCGUUUGUCCCCACUGUGCGGGCCAGAUUUAUCCAUGGUUGCGAAAGACAGUUCGGGUACAUCAUCUUCGUCGCUUGAGCCGCAGCUCUCUACAUAGACUGGGAUCUCGUCACGGUGGUCUUCGUAUCCACUGUCUUCGAACAUCGCGAAACCAGUGUGGCAUGCUUGGGUGUGACUGCGUACUUAUUGCAGUAAAAACAUCCCUAAAAAAAUCCUUGCAUUAGUACACCUCUUGGCAAUCCUUGUCUUUAUACUCUUUGUACUCCUUCCUCUCCUGCAGCAAUACAAACCAAAAGGGGUUC
rnacentral:lncRNA from 1 species